UACGUAGGGUGCAGGCGUUAAUCGGAAUUACUGGGCGUAAAGCGUGCGCAGGCGGUCUUUUAAGUCAGAUGUGAAAUCCCCGGGCUUAACCUGGGAACUGCGUUUGAAACUGGAAGGCUUGAGUGUGGCAGAGGGGGGUGGAAUUCCACGUGUAGCAGUGAAAUGCGUAGAUAUGUGGAGGAAUACCGAUGGCGAAGGCAGCCCCCUGGGAUAACACUGACGCUCAUGCACGAAAGCGUGGGGAGCAAACAGG
rnacentral:rRNA from 1 species